GAUGAACGCUGGCGGCGUGCCUAAUACAUGCAAGUCGAGCGAACAGACGAGGAGCUUGCUCCUCUGACGUUAGCGGCGGACGGGUGAGUAACACGUGGAUAACCUACCUAUAAGACUGGGAUAACUUCGGGAAACCGGAGCUAAUACCGGAUAAUAUAUUGAACCGCAAGGUUCAAUAGUGAAAGACGGUUUUGCUGUCACUUAUAGAUGGAUCCGCGCCGCAUUAGCUAGUUGGUAAGGUAACGGCUUACCAAGGCAACGAUGCGUAGCCGACCUGAGAGGGUGAUCGGCCACACUGGAACUGAGACACGGUCCAGACUCCUACGGGAGGCAGCAGUAGGGAAUCUUCCGCAAUGGGCGAAAGCCUGACGGAGCAACGCCGCGUGAGUGAUGAAGGUCUUCGGAUCGUAAAACUCUGUUAUUAGGGAAAAACAAAUGUGUAAGUAACUAUGCACGUCUUGACGGUACCUAAUCAGAAAGCCACGGCUAACUACGUG
rnacentral:rRNA from 1 species